rnacentral:rRNA from 1 species
AUACGUAGGUGACAAGCGUUAUCCGGAUUUACUGGGCGUAAAGGGCGUGUAGGCGGUCUUGCAAGUCAGAAGUGAAAUUCCUGAGCUCAACUCGGGCGCUGCUUCUGAAACUGCAGGCCUUGAGUGCUGGAGGGGAUAGCGGAAUUCCUAGUGGAGCGGUAAAAUGGGCAGAUAUUAGGAAGAACACCGGUGGCGAAGGCGGCUAUCUGGACAGUAACUGACGCGGAGGCGCGAAAGCGUGGGGAGCAAACAGUAUUAGAUACCCUGGUAGUCCACGCUGUAAACGAUGAAUACUAUGUGUAGUGGGUAUCGACUCCCUCUGUGCCGCAGUUAACACAAUAAGUAGUCCGCCUGGGGAGUACGGCCGCAAGGUUGAAACUCAAAUGAAUUGACGGGG